CACAAUGCCGAAUUUGGUGGUAAAAUUCGGCUGGAUUCGUGUGACCAGAAACUAGCAUUAACUUCCCAAAACAAAAGGUUACUGCAUUAAAUUACGGUAACUAUAAUGUGUCAACUCUAAAAUGGCUCCUGGAUUUAAAACACAUUGUAGCUUAUUGAUAACGCAAUUCAUUUGAUGUGAAUGAUACUUGAUGAUCACGCUCAUUACAAGGAUAGCUUACGGUUUCCUCCAAUAUCUGAAAACAACGCAAUCCUUACGACACCAUUCAAAUCGAGACCCAGGAGCCACUCUAGACGGUGUCACACAGUUACUAUUGGAACUUUAGUAAAACAGUAUCUUACGGAUUGCCGAGACUGUCCAUCCCAAAUGUUUGUUUACGCGCAGGUUUGAGUUUUGAAGCCCGCGGGAGAUUUAGGGUAACAACAACAUUUAGGGCUCAUGUAAUUCUGUGUAAGCAGGCAUUACCAACAACAACAAGCCCGCGGGAGACUGGAUCAUUGGUAUUCAUGUCCUUCUAGCCAAGCAUCCUUAAGCCCCAAAUCAACAAGAAGCCCGCGGGAGAUUGGAUCGUUGGGGCUCAUGUAAUUCUGUCUAAGCAGCCCUUAAGUCCCCAGUCAACAGCAACAAGCCCGCGGGAGUCAACACACGGCCGCAGAGGAACCCUGUACCUUAUUGCAGCCGAGGAGAAGCUGGGAACUACACACGAGCCGAUAGUCUUAUCUGCUAACUUACAUCUCAUCCAGCCAAGAUGAGCAAGGACAGUGAAAUGAAGACAGAGACCAAAGUGAAGCUAGAGGAGCAUCUGGAGUCAGCCUUGCAGCGCAUCGUCACUCAGGAGAAGCAGAAGCUCCUCCCACAGCUGGAUAUCAUGUGUUCACUAGCCAGUCAGAAGGAGCAGAUCCUGGCCUCUAUGAUACAUGCUAGGAAGGAGCAACAGUGUCCAGAAGAGGAUGCAGAAGAUGACUAUGGUCCAUCACUUGACAGCCAGAAGGACCAGCUCUACCAAGAUAUUGAAGAUCGGCAGACUGCUCUCAUGAACCACAGAAUAGUGAAAAAUGCAAUGCAGACAGCAGCUUUCAAGUUCCAGAUGCAAGAUGCCGUUCGAAAUGGCCUGCAGAAGGUGAAUGCAGACGAGACAAUGGAUAAUUUAACUGAAAGAGGGAUGCUUUUGGCUCACUGUGGCAGCAACCUGCAGUCAUACAAAGAGCUUACCACUGUACAGGAAGAAAUGGCAAAUUUGAACAAGGAGAUCCUUCACCUCCACCUCAAGUACUCAUCCAUCCUCAAGAAAAUAAGAUCAAAAUGGGAGGCAUUGCAAGACAGAUUCAUGCAAGCAGGAGAAAAGAACAAAAUGCUGACCCAGAUGCAGAACAAGGCAAAAGAAAGAGAGGGCAAGAUACAGCUACUGGUGGUGAUGAUUCAGGGUCUCAUAUCAGCUUGUGGAUUCCAGUGGGGUGCUUAUGAGUAUUAUAUACAGUUGUAAUGGAGUGUAGAGAAAGCAGCCCAGUGAGCCACCAGUAGCAAACAAGUCCUACAUUCAUGGUAGCUGAGCAGUCAGCACUCGGAACAUAGUAAUCUCAGUUUUGGAGUUAUGUGACUCGGCAGUGAUAACUGAAGACAUCGUCAAGCAGAAUGCUCUCAUGGCCAAGAUAUCUAAGAUUCAAGAAAAA
rnacentral:misc_RNA from 1 species